UACGUAGGGACCAAGCGUUGUCCGGAAUCAUUGGGCGUAAAGAGCGUGUAGGCGGCCUGUUAAGUCUUGCGUGAAAUCUCGGGGCUCAACCCCGAGCGGUCGUGAGAAACUGGCAGGCUAGAGUUCGGCAGGGGAGACUGGAAUUCCUGGUGUAGCGGUGAAAUGCGCAGAGUAUCAGGAGGAACACCGGUGGCGAAGGCGGGUCUCUGGGCCGAUACUGACGCUGAGGAGCGAAAGCGUGGGGAGCGAACAGG
rnacentral:rRNA from 1 species